rnacentral:lncRNA from 1 species
UGGUUCGUCGAAGGUGCUUAUUGCAUCGUUCAAUCCGUUUAAUCCUGGGAGGCGAUCGUUCAUCACACACGGUGAGGGCGAAAUACGCUUUAAGGAGACAGUUACGCACUGGACUCGGAUUUCCGUUCAUAUAUCCUUCGUUCUGUUUUGUCUCCUUACGUUUACUGCUUUAUCACGCACACACAAACGCACGUAUUAAAGUGUUGGUUUUUGCACAGAUUGUAAAACAGCUGGUCCCUAACCAUAAACCAAGAAACACUAGGAACCCAAAAAUGAUUGAUCUCACAUGACCCCGAGAUUGUGAAAUUAAAUGAGGUCAAGCCUAGGUGAGUAUAUAGUGAGUCCUCCUACCGUGAGAAUUGAUCUCUGUAAUAUUUGUCUUGUUUAGAAAUAGAGG